rnacentral:lncRNA from 1 species
UGGUUAUGACUAGAGGAACGACACCCCAUGAAAUAAAUUUGUGCAUUUUGGAUGAUUGCUUGUGGAAAAUGGAGAACGAUAGUUAUUUAUAAAAGAGGAGUGUAGAGAGUAGAAUUUAACAGAGUACUUCAGUUUUUAAAAGUUCAUUGUGGGAGCUGAAUGGAAAUUUGCGCGACAGAUUUUUUUGGUUAUAUCCGAAGCUUAUGAGUACACAUGUAGUGUGACCUCUAACAGAAGAUAAGUUCUGUUUUAUUUUUCUCGAUACUGAACUAGU